GAAAGCCGGAUGCGGGAAAACUGCACGUCCGGUUUGAGCGGCGGACGGAGGUUAGCCUUGCGGGGCGCCUCCUCCGACCCGAC
rnacentral:ncRNA from 1 species